rnacentral:tRNA from 1 species
GCGGUUGUGGCGGAAUUGGCAGACGCACUGGAUUUAGGUUCCAGCGGGAAACCGUGGAGGUUCAAGUCCUCUCGACCGCACCA